rnacentral:pre_miRNA from 1 species
UCUUCAUUUCACACACACUCUCUCACCGGUCAGAGUGACGAGAGAGAGUGUGUGAAAUGAAGAGA